rnacentral:SRP_RNA from 1 species
GCCGGGCGUGGUGACACAUGCCUGUAAUCCUAGCUACUCGGGAGGCUGAGGCAGGAGAAUCGCUUGAAUCCAGGAGGCGGAGGUUGCAGUGAGCCAAGAUCGCGCCACUGCAGUCCAGCCUGGGUGACAGAGCGAGACUCUGUCUCAA